AGUGAACGCUGGCGGUAGGCCUAACACAUGCAAGUCGAACGGCAGCACAGUAAGAGCUUGCUCUUACGGGUGGCGAGUGGCGGGCGGGUGAGGAAUACAUCGGAAUCUACUUUUUCGUGGGGGAUAAUGUAGGGAAACUUACGCUAAUACCGCAUACGACCUACGGGUGAAAGCAGGGGAUCUUCGGACCUUGCGCGAUUGAAUGAGCCGAUGUCGGAUUAGCUAGUUGGCGGGGUAAAGGCCCACCAAGGCGACGAUCCGUAGCUGGUCUGAGAGGAUGAUCAGCCACACUGGAACUGAGACACGGUCCAGACUCCUACGGGAGGCGGCAGUGGGGAAUAUUGGACAAUGGGCGCAAGCCUGAUCCAGCCAUACCGCGUGGGUGAAGAAGGCCUUCGGGUUGUAAAGCCCUUUUGUUGGGAAAGAAAAGCAGCAGGUUAAUACCCCGCUGUUCUGACGGUACCCAAAGAAUAAGCACCGGCUAACUUCGUG
rnacentral:rRNA from 1 species